rnacentral:tRNA from 1 species
CCCGAAUCAGCCGGGCGGGCAGCGGUUUCCGCCUCACCGGCGGGCGCGUGGUUCGCGACCGGCGGUUCGAUGACGCUGUCCAGGG